rnacentral:lncRNA from 10 species
GGCAGACAUGCAAAGGUAGUGUUGGCAUUGACCAAGGAAUGCUGGCCUCUGGGCCUCUGAGUCCCCCCCAGCUCAGAUGAUUUUUCUGUUCCACAGAGGCUGUAAGAGCUAAGCAGUGAAUUGCGUGGAAGGUGGCAGAGCUGACCGACUGUACACAGCAAUGGGAAACAUUUCUAUCCUGCUCCGUCUCUGCGUUUGCAGGGGCUGCUGACGAUCGUUGCCUCCUCUAACUACUCCGAAAAAAUACAAAAAUGCAGGUGGUCACUUGGGGCUGCGUCAGCAAAGAGAAUGCUCUUCUGGGGUCAUCUAACCUUGAAAAUAAUAGCCCCUGGAGAGCAAUUUCCAGAUGAAUCGCUCUGAAUUUCUUUUAUUCCCUAGACAGCUUGCCUUCUACAACGUGGUACUAUGAACAGCAAAGAACAUGACUGCCCUCUGACCUGUUGGCAUGUUGAGAGGCAAGAUUUCUCAUGAUCCAGGCUCUAUGGAGGAUGGGAGGAAUCCCAUUUUCAUGCUUAGUUUUACAGCUGAGCUGAGGUCUCUCCCGGGAAAACCAACAAACAUGGUCUAUUUUGUUAUUUUAAAACAGUUUUCCACAGUUAGAGUGCUGGUUUUAUCUGUGGAGGCUCAACACAACUUUAUGACUCUUACACUGGACAACAUUUUGCUACAGAUAAGAUAUAGUUUUGAGAUAGGAUGAUGGCAGGUAGGACCCUUUAGUAUUUGUUUUGUUAAAUAAUGACUUGAGCUCAAUUUGUGAAUUGAACUUAGGUCCUUUCUUUUCUUCUUCUUUUUUUUUUAAACCAUGUUUGUGGUUGCAGCUAUCGUUGUUAUUUUCAUGAUCAUUUCUGCCACUGACUUCCUCUCUGACAGGAGUUAUAUCAAUUUGUUUCUAUUUUACUUUGUUGUACCUUGGUCUCUCCAGAGGAAAAUGGGAACUUGAGAGUAUUUAUGAAGAAAAUGCCUGUCAAAUUGGGAAUACUCUCGGAGUGGAAAAUGGAGGCAUUAUGAAAUAACUUUAUUUUCCUCUGUGAUCAACGUGUAGUGAACGCUCAAUGAGAUAUGACUAGAAUUUAAGAAUGAAGACUCCACUAGAGCAAGGGUCUCUCCUAUCUUCUUAUCUAUCGUAUCUCUGGCACUGGGACAGGAACUGAUAGUGAAGGUGCUCAGUGUUUGUUGAAUGCAUAAAUGACCAAUGGAAAGAAGGAAGAAAAAAGAAGGAAGGAAGGAAGGAAUGAAGGAAGAAAGGAAGGACCAGAGAGAGGAACAAGACCCUCUGCUGAGCCAGCAGCAGGAAAAGACCCGAGAUCACAAUGACGUGAUUUAUAUUGAUCCCUAGUUAGUCAUCAGGAAUGUCUGAGUGAAGAAUGGAAAACAAAGGGAUGCUUGAGUUUACAAUGCCCGAGUGUCCCUCGUGGAGGGAGUGCUGCCUCUGGAUCCAGGAUCAGCAGCUGUGGAAACAUCUCCCUUUUGCAGAGGGUGGGUGCUGCCCGAAGUGAGACCCCAAAUUUCAUUCAGAGGAUUUCUUUUCAUUUGCUCCCUUUGGGCUGUGAUUGUGUCAGGCUUCCAGCAUUUUCUGCACCCAGGAUCAAGUCGAGUUGGAGGAGCUUAUUCUGACUUAGUCUAUGUGAACACUUUGGCUUUCCCAGGUACAAAUCAGCUCACAGCCUGCAGAACAGAAACUGACAGCGCGUCAGAGACCUGCAUGACAGUCCUGGCUUCCACUCUGGCCUCUCAGUUUCCUCAUAUGUUCAGUGAGUUCAUCAUCCUUCUCACACAAUAAAGAUGAAGACCAACACCACCUGACAUUCGUUGAGUAUUUACUAGGGGCCAGGUGUUCUACUAAGUGUUUCCAAUUCAUAUUCUCAUUGAACCUCCACAACUACUCGAUGAAGAAGGCAUAAUCUCUGUCCCCAUUUUAUAGAUGAAGAAAGUGAAGUCUAGACAUAACUUACCUGCCCAAUGUCACACAGCUGGGAGUUUGCCAAAUUAAGAUCCAAAUCAUGAUUUUUUUUAAAUUCGUUGCAAUAAUC